rnacentral:rRNA from 1 species
UCGAGAAUCUUCGGCAAUGGGCGCAAGCCUGACCGAGCGACGCCGCGUGCGGGAUGAAGGCCUUCGGAUUGUAAACCGCUGUCGUAGGGGAGGAAGGCUGCGUGAAGAACGCAGCUUGACCGAUCCUAGGAGGAAGGGCCGGCUAAUCUCGUGCCAGCAGCCGCGGUAAUACGAGAGGCCCAAACGUUAUUCGGAUUUACUGGGCUUAAAGAGUUCGUAGGCGGCGCAGAAAGUAGGGUGUGAAAGCCCUCGGCUCAACCGAGGAAUUGCGCCCUAAACUACUGUGCUCGAGGGACCUAGAGGUGAGCAGAACUGAUGGUGGAGCGGUGAAAUGCGUUGAUAUCAUCAGGAAUACCGGAGGCGAAGGCGGCUCACUGGGGGUCUUCUGACGCUGAGGAACGAAAGCCAGGGGAGCGAACGG